rnacentral:rRNA from 1 species
UACGUAGGGGGCAAGCGUUGUCCGGAAUCAUUGGGCGUAAAGCGCGCGUAGGCGGCUCGGUAAGUCCGUUGUGAAAGUCAAAGGCUCAACCUUUGAAUGCCGAUGGAUACUGUCGAGCUAGAGUCCGGAAGAGGCGAGUGGAAUUCCUGGUGUAGCGGUGGAAUGCGCAGAUAUCAGGAAGAACACCCGUGGCUAAGGCGGCUCUCUAGUACGGUACUGACGCUGAGACGCGAAAGCGUGGGGAGCAAACAGG